CUGGACACCACUGGCCUUCUUUUGAUGAAGCCUUUCGCUCUGGAUUCCCAAAGCAAGAAAUUAUCUGCCAGCGAUCCAGCAUCCAACCCCAGCUGCUAGGUGUAAUAUUCCUGGACUCCCAGAAGCAAACUCUGCAUAUUACUUCCUGCCAUUGCAAGCCAUUCC